rnacentral:rRNA from 1 species
GACGUAGGGCGCGAGCGUUGUCCGGAAUUAUUGGGCGAAAGAGCUCGUAGGCGGCUUGUUGCGUCGACUGUGAAAACCCGCGGCUCAACCGUGUGGCUUGCAGUCGAUACGGGCAGGCUAGAGUUCGGUAGGGGAGACUGGAAUUCCCGGUGUAGCGGUGAAAUGCGUAGAUAUCGGAAGGAACAUCAGUGGCGAAAGCGACUUCCUGGACCAGUACCGACGUCAGGCACGAAAGCGUGGGGAGCAAACAGG